rnacentral:misc_RNA from 1 species
GAAAGGGGGAGACAAAGAUUAGGUGUUAUAGAUUGCUAUAGAAGAGUUGAGAAAUCAGAGGGAAAGGUAAGGACUUGGUCAGUGGAUGGGUGGAGAAACCUUUAUCAUAAAUAAGGCCCUCUAAUCCCUUUUCAAAUCAUGAAUUAGGGAUACCAUGUUAAUCCUUGAAAUAACUUACAAUAAGCAAAUAAAACAUCCUCUAAACAAUAAUCUUAAAAGAAAA